rnacentral:rRNA from 1 species
GACGAACGCUGGCGGCGUGCCUAAUACAUGGAAGUCGAGCGAAGUUUUUCUGGUGCUUGCACUAGAAAAACUUAGCGGCGAACGGGUGAGUAACACGUAAAGAACCUGCCUCAUAGACUGGGACAACUAUUGGAAACGAUAGCUAAUACCGGAUAACAGUAUUUCUCGCAUGAGAGAUAUUUAAAAGUUGGUUAUGCUAACACUAUGAGAUGGCUUUGCGGUGCAUUAGCUAGUUGGUGGGGUAAAGGCCCACCAAGGCGACGAUGCAUAGCCGACCUGAGAGGGUGAUCGGCCACACUGGGACUGAGACACGGCCCAGACUCCUACGGGAGGCAGCAGUAGGGAAUCUUCCGCAAUGGGCGAAAGCCUGACGGAGCAACGCCGCGUGAGUGAAGAAGGAUUUCGGUUCGUAAAGCUCUGUUGUUAGGGAAGAAUGGAUAUGUAGUAACUAUACAUGUAAGAGACGGUACCUAACCAGAAAGCCACGGCUAACUACGUG